UUCAAUCAUCCCGAGCGAUUCGGUCCCACAAGCCCGAAUCCACCAACCUGUCCAAGGCGGAUAAGGUGGUUCUCAUGAUGAGCCCGUUCUGGGAAGCCGUCCACGCACG
rnacentral:ncRNA from 10 species